rnacentral:rRNA from 1 species
UACGUAGGGUGCAAGCGUUGUCCGGAAUUAUUGGGCGUAAAGAGCUCGUAGGCGGCUUGUCACGUCGACUGUGAAAACCCGGGGCUCAACUCCGGGCCUGCAGUCGAUACGGGCUGGCUUGAGUGCGGUAGGGGAGACUGGAAUUCCUGGUGUAGCGGUGAAAUGCGCAGAUAUCAGGAGGAACACCGGUGGCGAAGGCGGUUCUCUGGGCCUGUACUGACGCUGAGGAGCGAAAGCGUGGGGAGCGAACAGG